UACGUAGGGGGCAAGCGUUGUCCGGAUUUAUUGGGCGUAAAGAGCGUGUAGGCGGCCUGAAAGGUCAGCUGUGAAAACUCGAGGCUCAACCUCGAGACGUCGGUUGAAACCAUCUGGCUAGAGUCCGGAAGAGGAGUGUGGAAUUCCCGGUGUAGCGGUGAAAUGCGCAGAUAUCGGGAGGAACACCAGCGGCGAAGGCGGCGCUCUGGGCCGGAACUGACGCUGAGGAGCGAAAGCGUGGGUAGCAAACAGG
rnacentral:rRNA from 1 species